AAAACAAAAAAAUAUAAAAUACAACAAUGUAAUGCAAAAACCCUGCAUUUUAUAACACCAGAUUAGCGUAACAUUCAAAAAUCAAUGAAAAUUAUUCGGGUAUCUAUCAUUAUAAAUUAAUUUCUUUAUGUCACAUAAUAAAUACGAGUAGUCAGAAACAUAAAAUCAAAUAAGAAACCAGAAAGAAAGUUUGCAUAAAGAUUUUACCUAUUUUUCUUUCAUUUUCUUCUCAAUUUUUCAGUUUCUUACCAUGAGCAGACAAAUAGUGUUGGACAUUGGGUUUUGCUUGUUUGUGAGGCACAAGCUAAUGGGAAGAAAGAGAGAGAAGGAAGCAUAUGCAGCUGGCCAUUGGAAAGUCCUUGCUCCCACCGAUUAUUUGUAAUUUCUUCUACUACUCUACUUCAGUUGUGAACACUUGCUUGUGAUUUUGCUAUCGUUCAGCGUAUCUGCCCUAAACCAUCUCUUCUAGCCGGUAAAACUAGUUAUUUUGAGUAAUUGGG
rnacentral:lncRNA from 1 species